AUGUGAGGGCGAUCUGGCUGCGACAUCUGUCACCCCAUUGAUCGCCAGGGUUGAUUCGGCUGAUCUGGCUGGCUAGGCGGGUGUCCCCUUCCUCCCUCACCGCUCCAUGUGCGUCCCUCCCGAAGCUGCGCGCUCAGUGGAAGAGGACGACAUCCCAGGUAUAGAAGGAGUGUACCGAGGUCUCCAGUCUUCGGUCCCGGGUAUACGAUAGCUGCGCUCCCCUGCUAGAACCUCCAAACAGGCACGCAAGUUUUAAUUGUGCAGAGGCCUUCCUGACCACCUCUGAAACCUCAGCCUCCAGGUUCAGCGUUGAGUCCAGGA
rnacentral:snRNA from 1 species